UACGUAGGGUGCAAGCGUUGUCCGGAAUUAUUGGGCGUAAAGAGCUCGUAGGCGGUUUGUCGCGUCUGCUGUGAAAACCCGAGGCUCAACCUCGGGCCUGCAGUGGGUACGGGCAGACUAGAGUGCGGUAGGGGGAGACUGGAAUUCCUGGUGUAGCGGUGGAAUGCGCAGAUAUCAGGAGGAACACCGAUGGCGAAGGCAGAUCUCUGGGCCGUAACUGACG
rnacentral:rRNA from 1 species